rnacentral:rRNA from 1 species
UACAGAGGUCCCGAGCGUUGUUCGGAUUCAUUGGGCGUAAAGGGUGCGUAGGCGGCUUCCUAAGUUUGAUGUGAAAUCCUGGGGCUCAACUCUGGAACUGCAUUGAAUACUGGGAGGCUAGAGUACUGGAGAGGAAACUGGAAUUUACGGUGUAGCAGUGAAAUGCGUAGAGAUCGUAAGGAAGACCAGUGGCGAAGGCGGGUCUCUGGACAGUUCCUGACACUGAGGCACGAAGGCCAGGGGAGCAAACGGG